rnacentral:rRNA from 1 species
GAUGAACGCUGGCGGCGUGCCUAAUACAUGCAAGUCGAGCGAACAGACGAGGAGCUUGCUCCUCUGACGUUAGCGGCGGACGGGUGAGUAACACGUGGAUAACCUACCUAUAAGACGGGGAUAACUUCGGGAAACCGGAUCUAAUACCGGAGAAUAUAUUGAACCGCAUGGUUCAAUAGUGAAAGACGGUGUUGGUGUCACUUAUAGAGGGAUCCGCGCCGCAUUAGCUAGUUGGUAAGGUAACGGCUUACCAAGGCAACGAUGCGUAGCCGACCUGAGGGGGUGAUCGGCCACACUGGAAGUGAGACACGGUCCAGACUCCUACGGGAGGCAGCAGUAGGGAAUGUUCCGCAAUGGGCGAAAGCCUGACGGAGCAACGCCGCGUGAGUGAUGAAGGUCUUCGGAUCGUAAAACUCUGUUAUUAGGGAAGAACAAAUGUGUAAGUAACUAUGCACGUCUUGACGGUAACUAAUCAGAAAGCCACGGCUAACUACGUG